rnacentral:pre_miRNA from 1 species
AACAAAUCAACUUCUCAGUCUUUACAUACAAUGUUUGUCUCUUCGUCUUAUUCAAAAAAUUUUAUAAUUAAUAAUUUUAUUUUUAUUAGAUGAUAAAACACAAAUAAUAUUUUAUGUGUGACUAUUUUUUAAAAAAUUUCUUGAAAAUUUUUCAAAUAAGACGGACGGUCAAACGCUCGACAAAAAACCGAAAAGUUGUUUUUUGG